CCCGCCCCGGGACUGCGCGGAGCAUGCGCACUCAGCGCACCAGGGGCCGCCGGAGCGAGUCCGGGAAGCCGGCGGCUGCUGCUUCGCUUUAAGUGUCCGGAAGUGCGGCCGCACGCGCUGCAAUCCCUUUGUCCCCGCGGCCGGAAGGGCGCGGUGUGAUUAGUUGGCGUUUCGCGGCGGACGCCGAUUAGCCCGCGCGCUUGUCCGCCAGUCCCACAAGCUGCCUAGACGUUGGAGGGGCUAGAUGGUGCUUGGUCUGAAGAUGUUGAAAAACGUAGAGCCUGAGCCGAACCCCGAGUUUCAGCAACCUGGAGCUCGAGGACUGUAACCUGGGGAGGUCACAGGGUGGCCGCGAUGGCUUUAGAAUCCGGCUUUCUUGUUCCCAAGCAAACGCUUUGCCAUGUCAUCACCUGCCACCCCUCACUUGUAAAUCCAGGUCAGCUCGUUUAUCUUUUCCUUUUGCUGAGCCCAGACGUACCUUUUCUGACGGUUACUUCGCCACCUCGCCUCUCGGAGCGGUAUUCCGCUUCCUCGCUGAUUUGUUGAAAGCAGCAAGUCCAAAGAUCAAAAAGUUCAUCAAACCCCAGGCAGGGAGUUCCCGUCAUGGCACAGUUUAGGAACCAUGAGGUUGCGGGUUCGGUCCCUGCCCUUGCUCAGUGGGUUAACGAUCCGGCGUUGCCGUGAGCUGUGGUGUAGGUUGCAGAUGCUGCUUGGAUCCCGCGUUGCUGUGGCUCUGGCAUAGGCUGGUGGCUAUGACUCCGAUUCAACCCCUAGCCUGGGAACCUCCAUAUGCCGCAGGAGCGGCCCAAGAAAUAGCCCCCAAAAAAAAAAAAAAAAAAAAAAAACCCAGGCAGGAUAAACAUAAACAACCAACUUGGGUAUAUCAUAAUGAUACUGACAGCCGAAGAUGAACUGAAGAAUCUUUGGAACAGCCAGAGGAGGUUGGAGAAAAAGACACAUUUCAUUCGGGUGAACAACAAGAGGAACGAAUGCAGGAGUUCCCAUCAUGGCUCAGUGGAAACGAAUCUGACUAGGAUCCAUGAGCACACGGGUUCGAUCCCUGGCCUCGCUCAGUGGGUUAAGGAUCCAGUAUUGUGACUGCUGUGGUGCUGGUUCAAUCCCUGGCCUGGGAACUUCUGAAUGCCGUGGGAGGAAAAGGAUGGUAUUGCAGAAAAUACAGACCUACGGAGGAAUGAAGACUGCCAAACAUGGACAGUGCCGUCUGUGAAAUGGAGCGAAUAACCCUUAACUCAUAGAACGGAUAGCGUGUGCUAAGGGCCCAGCUCUAGCAGACACGCAGUGAGCACCGCUGGGCGCUGUUCGCCCUCUUUCAAGGACUUGACCUCCACAAGCCCUUCGAGCAGCAUCUGGCCUUCUGGUCCCUGACCUGCGUCAGCCACUCCGAGGGCGGGUGCACACCCUCCCUGGGAGGUUAGUGCGCAGGCGCUGUGGGCACCGGGCGUGUCAGCUCUCCCUGCCGGUCAGGACAGGCGGGAAGGACCAGGCAUCGUUUCCAGACUCCUCUCCGGCCUCCGCUGCGCCCCGGGAAGCUGAGCAUUGCAUUUUGAGGUCUGGUCGUGAGGCAUUUCAAGUCCUUUGGUAGAUCAAGAUCUCCACCUGUGAGAAAGGAACGAUCCGCUUGCCCGUGCUGCUGCGUGCCAUUUGUUCCUGUGCCCUCUCAAUGGCAGAUCUGGCCUGUCCAACCACACUGGCAGUUGACACUGUGUCCUCUGGUGGUGUUGGAUCCCAGCCUCCUCCUCUCAGUUGGCCCUAAGCCAUCACAGGACUCAAGCCAGGUAUGAGCCAUUUCCUGUGAGAGAAUGUUUUAUUAUAUAACUACUCUGAAGAACCGUGCAACCCUUGGCACCAGACUGGCCUUUCGUAGUGAGCCCUUUGAGGACACGUCGUGAGGUCACCCACAGUCUCUACACAGGUACAGUCAACUUGGAUCAGAGACUCUUAGUCCUGGUUUAGUGAAUGUGUGUAUAAUGGAUAUUUGAUUUGCCCACCCAGCAUCCUUUCUGGUCGGGUACCAUAAUUUUUCCUUUCCCAUAUAGUUCUGUAGGGUCGACCCAACCUCUGACCAAUCAGAACAACGCAGCACUCCUCAGACACAGAGAUGGCUUCAGGGAUAUGCACACAACCUGUUGGGCCACCAGCCGUCUUACCUGGAAUGUUACUGGAGCUACAUCAGAGAAGAGGUGCUUUCUGAUGGAGUUACAGAAUUCCUAGAAUGUAGCUGGGAGCUACUGGGGACCGUCGUUGACACCACCUAGGGAGAGACUGCCCAGUAACAAAGUCAGCUUGGAGGAAAGCAAAGUUCACAGAGAAAGUCCGACUUGUUACAACUUUGAUCCAGUCCUAAAGCCAGCAAUAUACCAGUGGAUUCCUUGGUUUAUAAACCAACAUUUCUUUUAUUGUAUAAGUUGGUAUGAGUUGGUUUUCUGUUGCUUGAAACUUAUACAGCUGGUAAGAAAGCCUGACUGGUAUUUCCUUCUGCUUUACCAGCUGGCUAAACCUCCAGGGAGGAAAUACACCAAAGAAAAGCAAGUUGAGGAGUUCCCACUGUGGCUCAGUGGUAACAAACUCGACUAGUAUCCAGGGACGUUUGAUGCGGCGUUGCCAUGAGCUAUUGUGUAGGUUGCAGA